UACAGAGGUGGCAAGCGUUGUUCGGAAUUACUGGGCGUAAAGGGCGCGUAGGCGGCCUUCUAAGUCAGACGUGAAAUCCCCCGGCUUAACCUGGGAACUGCGUCUGAUACUGGGAGGCUCGAGUAUGGGAGAGGGAUGUAGAAUUCCAGGUGUAGCGGUGAAAUGCGUAGAUAUCUGGAGGAACACCGGUGGCGAAGGCGGCAUCCUGGACCAACACUGACGCUGAGUGAGCGAAAGCCAGGGGAGCAAACGGG
rnacentral:rRNA from 1 species